rnacentral:rRNA from 1 species
CCUACGGGAGGCAGCAGUGGGGAAUUUUCCGCAAUGGGCGAAAGCCUGACGGAGCAACGCCGCGUGAGGGAGGAAGGUCUUUGGAUUGUAAACCUCUUUUCUCAAGGAAGAAGUUCUGACGGUACUUGAGGAAUCAGCCUCGGCUAACUCCGUGCCAGCAGCCGCGGUAAUACGGGGGAGGCAAGCGUUAUCCGGAAUUAUUGGGCGUAAAGCGUCCGCAGGUGGUCAGCCAAGUCUGCUGUCAAAUCAGGUUGCUUAACGACCUAAAGGCGGUGGAAACUGGCAGACUAGAGAGCAGUAGGGGUAGCAGGAAUUCCCAGUGUAGCGGUGAAAUGCGUAGAGAUUGGGAAGAACAUCGGUGGCGAAAGCGUGCUACUGGGCUGUAUCUGACACUCAGGGACGAAAGCUAGGGGAGCGAAAGGGAUUAGAUACCCCUGUAGUCCUAGCCGUAAACGAUGGAUACUAGGCGUGGCUUGUAUCGACCCGAGCCGUGCCGAAGCUAACGCGUUAAGUAUCCCGCCUGGGGAGUAGGCNCNCAAAAGGGAAAA